rnacentral:lncRNA from 1 species
UUGUAAUAAUGUAUUGACAAAGUUUAUGGCCUGAGUACAGGCAGUUCCUGUCCCAGUAUUCAGACCAGAGAGUUAAUUUUGGUACAGAUGCUAUAAGGACAGGCUUUGGAGGUAGAAGGGCAAGCCAUGAUCUUGGUGCUGCCCCCAUGCAGAGCACGUAAUCUCUCCCUGAGCCAUGGCAGCUGCUGCCACUGUUGAUGUUUCUGCCCAUUGCUCAGGAUUCCAGAAGACCCAAGCCUGCACACAACCUGUUCACACCUAUCAUGUCUGCUCUGCUCAUGCUUCAUUGUCUCAUUGGACUUCACGGACCAAGCACAAGUUCAAAGGUUUAUCAACAGGGAGCUUAUCUGUGUGGGACCAUUCUAAUAGUCAGGAUCGAUAUUAUACGAACAACCAUAUGAACUUGGAAGCAGAUUUUUUCCCAGAGUCUUCAAACAGGAGUCCAACCAAGCUGACAACCUGGAUUUCAACCUGAUAAGUUCCUGUGAAUAUGUGUAUCCUUUCACUAAUACCAUACUAUUUUAAUUAUUGGAUAUUCAUCUUGCGUUUCUGGGAUAAACACUGCUUGGUUAAGAUACAUUAACUUUUUAUAUUGCUGGACUUGAUUCGCUAAUUAUUUGGUUGAAGAUUUUGUGUCUAUGUGCAUGAAGGAUAUUGGCCUGUAGUAAGUCUUACAGCAAGUCUUGAAAUGGAAUAGAUUCCUUUAAUGUUGUUCUUUUUCAAAUGUGCUUUUGCUAUUCUAGUUUAUUUGCCUUUCUAUAUACCUUUUAGAGCCAGCUUGACAAUAUUUACAAAAAAGCCUGCUGAGAUUGCAUUGAAUGUGUAGAUUUAAUUGGGAGAGAAGUGAGAGCAUAGUAAUAUUGAGUCUUCCAAUUUAUCAACAAGUUACAUCUCUCCAUUUAUUUAGAUAUAAUUUGCUUUUUUGAUCAGUGCUUUGUACUUUUUAGCAUUUAGAUCUUGUACAUUUUCAAUAAAUUUAUGCCUAAGGAUUUAAUUUUUUGGAUCUGUUGUAAAUAGUACUUUUAUCUUAUUUUUUUUUUUCAAAUUCCCACUGUUUGCUGUUAGUAUCCAGAAAUACAGCUGAUUUUUGUGUAUUGACCUUGUUUUCUGCAACCUUGAUAAACUCAAUUGUUACUUCAUUACCUUUUCUGUGGAUUCCUGAAAUUCUCUAUGUCCACAAUUACGUUGUCUGGGAACAGAGAGUGAUUUUUCAAAUAUGUGUACACUGUAUUUUUAUUGCAUUAUUACACUGAUUAGGACAUACUGUAUGAUGCUAAAUAGUUUCAGUGAAAGAGGACAUCCAGACUCUUACCAGAAAGUUUGAUGUUAGCUGCAAGGUUUGUGUGUGUGUGCCUUUUAUCAGGUUAAAGACAUUCUCUUUUAUUCCUAGUUUGCUGAUCUUUAAAAAUCAUUAACGUGUUGAUUUUUUUCCCAAAUACCUUUUCUCUCUCUCUAUAUAUAUAAGACAUGAUUAUAUUACUUUUAAAAUUUAGUCUGUUAAUAUAGUGAGUUACAUUGAUUGAUUUUAAAAGUUGAACCAGUCUUGUAUUUUUGCAAUAAAGACUAUUUGAUCAUGGCAUAGUAACUGUUUUAUGUAUUGCUGGACUUCUAAUUUUGCUAAAGUUUUACUGAAGAUUUUUGUGUCUAUGUUCAUGAGAGUGAGGGAUAUUGGCCUGUAUAUUUCUUGUUUAUAUGUUAUGUUUUCGGUUUUGAUGUUAGGGUAAUGACGGCCUCAUAAAAUGUGUUGGGGAGUGUUUUUUCCCUAUUUUUCAGAAGAGAUUGUUUAUAAUUGGUAUUAUUUCUUCCUUAAAUGUUUGGUGAAUUAACUGGUGAAGUCACCCAAGCUUGGAAUUUUCUUUGUGUAAAGGUUUUUAACUACAAAUUUAAUUUCUAUAAUCGAGGUAGGAUUAUUCAGGUUAUUUUUUUUUCUUGAAUGGGUUUUGGUAGUUGGUGUCUGUCAAGGAAUCAGUUCAUCUCUUCUAAAUUGUUGAAUUUACAGGCAUGGAAUUAUUUGUAGUAUUCGCUUACUAUUCUCUUAAUGUCUGGUAGGUCAGGGGUUAUAUCUGUUAUUUCAUCCCUGUUGGUAGGUUGGUAGGUUGUGUUAUCCAUACCCGACAAUUUUCUAAAUUUUAUUGCAUAGUAUUUUAAUUACCUUUCAGUUUAAAGUAUCUUAAAAUUUUCUCAAGACCUCCUCUUUGAAUCAUAGGAUGUUUAGAAGUGUGUUCUUUAAUUUCCAAGAUUUCAGAGAUUUUUUUCAAAUAUCUUUGUUUUUGAUGCCUAUUUUAAUUUCUUUAUGAUUCAAAAACAUGCUUUGUAUAAAUUCUAUUCUUUUGAAUUUGCUAAUGUUUGUUUUAUGGCCCAGAAUAUAGUCUGUCUUGCUAAAUGUUUUGUGCUCAACUAAAAAAAAAAAUGUAUCUUUUACUGUUUUAAGUGUUGCAUUUUACAUAGCUUCAAAUUGAAAAUCUGUUUAGUAUUUAUGCUGCUCAGCAUUUUGGUACUGUGAGCUAUAAAGACAAAAAGGUGUACCUUUUGGCUAAGGUUACAGUUUGUAGAAGGAACAAGCACAGUUAGUGAAGGAAUACUAUAAUUUAGGGAAAAGGAAAGAUGCUCCUCUCAAAACAGGUUCUCUGCUUCAGUGUGACUCUAUCAAGUUUUGUCUGCUCUUCUGGAUCUGGUUUUUCCAUAACCAGGGAUAUGUAACCUUAACCUGACACUGAGGCUUGUACUUGGCCUUGGAUCAAUUCUGACCUAAGGUGACAGCGGGAUUUAAGCAAUUUUAUCCAUCACUGAUUCUGAGUUUCAGAGUUUCAGGUCUUCUUCACUGCUGUCAGUCAUUGCUUCUAGGAGUCCUAAAUUCUGAUAAAGGUCCACUUUGCUGAGAGUCUGUGAUCACAACAUACUUCAACAGAACCCCGAAUAAAUCCUAAUGAGAUGUCUACCACAGAGAGUGGACUCUGCAGAAAUUGCAAUGUCUUGAGUCAAAUAAUUAACUUGGCAAAGCCUUCUCUGCUCUAAAUACUAGCAACAUCUCUGAACAGCAGACAGCAUUUUAGAGUGAUACAUCUGGAAAGUUGCAAGCACAAAAAUACAUCUGUUUCCGUUGCUAUAGAAAGAUAAACAGGACCAGACUCAAGACACUGUGGGAAAAAAGUUCUUGCCUUAGUCUGCUUACUGUUUACUGCCUUUCUGGAGGAAAAAAAGGUCACAGAUGUGCCAAAUGGUGAGCACAAACUGGUAUACAGUGCAGUCAUCUCAAAUGUUUCCUGUGAAGAAUAAAAACAAGACUGCAUCAACAUGACAGAAAAAAUACUCAGCUGAUUUUUUAUUUAUUUAUAUUUGCCUGCAUUAUAUCAAAUCCAAAAACAUCAAGAAAGUCACAUUUAGCUUUGCAUUCAGGCUCUUUGAGCCAUUUUGUUUAAAAAUGGGUUAAUUGUCCUUUUUAAUGUUAGUCUGGUUAUAGAUAUUUUUAGGAUUUUCUAGCUUUCUCAUGAUAAACUAUAUGCGGUUGAUUAACAAUAGAUUUAUCUAAUGCUUUCUUACAGCAUUUGAUAUUUUUAACCCACACGAUAUCUUGGAAGUAAUUUGCUACUUGCUAAUUGAAGAGGUAUUUACUUUUAUUUGCCUAAAAAUGACUGGUCUGACUGGUUUUUUGACUGAAUUAAGUGAAAGUUUUGAUAUGCUGAAGAAGUCGGAAGUGGCCAAAUGAUCUAGAAGAACAACAACAUUUUUUCCUUAUGGGGUCAAAUUAUGAGCUUCUUAUCUCCAAGUGAUCUGUCAAAUAUUUUCAGCCAGAAGCCAUCAGAUAAAUGGAGAUACUGGUUCACACUGGACCUUUUUGGAAGAGAGAAUGAACCUUCCGCACAGUUACCUCUGCUGGCUUCACAUUGGCCAAGUCCAGAUUGAGGAUCUAUUAGUCAUGUCUGACAGGAAAGCACACGGUGUAUCCUUGGCAUUCAGGGUGAUGUAUGGGCAUCUGAUAGGGUAUUUGCUUCCCCUGACAAAUCCAGCACCUACUUUCCAACCAGCAUCGAAUAACCAAGGAUCUGUGGGUACAGGAGGAGGGGCGGUUAUUCAAGCGCUGGAUUUGUGUUAAAUCUAGGAUCAGUGGGACCUAAUGAAUCUGCCAUUGGAGGCAUGCCCCAGUGAGAGGCAGAACUGUUGGCUACCAAGAAAACCACGUGCUGUUCCCCUUGCCUGAACAGCAGGGCUUUCAGCAAAUGCCUCAUAAAACCCAGGGACAGCUAGAACUGGGGAGGUAUGUGUGCUUGAAGGCCCUCCUGAUCAUUUUUCCCCCUUUUAAACUCCGUUCAGCAUGUUGACCCCCUGUUUUCCUUGCCAUGGAUUCAGAAGAGAUGAAAGCCAGUGGGUUUUUCACCAGCAGGGAAAAUAAAUGAGGACUCAACUUAGAAAAAGGACAGCCUUUCUUAGGUUUUCUGGCACAGCUGCUGGGCAUUCGGCAUUAAAUUGAAAGAGAGUAUAAGCGAUGCAGAAAAUAUGAUCAAGAUCACCCUAGGCAAGCAGGGAUUCCUUUAAAUGCAUGGAUAGCCUGGUAUGAAAGAUUUCACUAGGAGGGGAACACUGCUCAACUAGACCCAAAUUGUCUGUCCUAUGGCCCUGAACCUUUUCUUAAUGUACAUCCAUGUAUUUACUUAUUUGUGGGAAAUGCUGAAACCACAGAGUUCCUGUUUGCUCUGUUUCUUAGGCAUAAAGUUAUUCUGUGGUCAGAGACACCUAAGACCAUUAGACACUCACACUACAGAUCUGAAGAAGGGCUAUUUACCCGAGCUUCCAGGAAAAAUAUUGACAAGGCAGUAAAAAUACUUUCCUUGAUUACUCAGCCUUGUAUUUUAAACCUAAAAUUACAGGAACUUUUCUCUUUUAGUCAUUUAUUUUUAGCUUCCCUAUUUUUCUACCUUUUUGGGUUUUUUGGGCUCACCUUUUAAAAAUGGUGUAUUUAUACUGACUGCAAAUCGAGGAAUAGCAAACUGUUUAGAGUGUUGUCACUGUUUUCUUCUGACCAGUUUUCAAGCUACUUGGGGACAAGUGAAUCUCAGCUUCUGGAGAUAAACGGGAAGAGGAAAAUUUGUUACACGGCUGAAAGAAACUUCAAAAAGUUAUUUAGUGUUGAUUUUCAGGAAAGUCACCAUAUUAACCAUUCCUUAGUUCCUCUUACUCUUUUUUUUUUUUUUUUUUUUUUGAGACGGAGUCUUGCUCUGUGGCCAGGCUGAGUACAGUGCCAGAUCUCAGCUCCACGGCAAGCUCCGCCU